rnacentral:rRNA from 1 species
UAAUAGCGUAUACUUAAGUUGUUGCAGUUAAAAAGCUCGUAGUCGGAUGUCGGGCUUGGGCAGGCUGUCGGCUUUUGUCGGACGGCAGGCUCGGGUCUUUCUGCCUGAGGAUCCAUCUCAUUCACUUGGGGUGGGGACGCAGGCCGUUUACUUUGAAAAAAUUAGAGUGUUCAAAGCAGGCCUACGCUUGAAUACAUUAGCAUGGAAUAAUGGAAUAGGACUUUGGUGCUAUUUUGUUGGUUUAUGGGACCGAAGUAAUGAUUAACAGGGACAGUUGGGGCCGUUUAUAUUUCGUUGUCAGAGGUGAAAUUCUUGGAUUUACGAAAGAUAAACUUCUGCGAAAGCAUUCGGCAAGGAUGUUUUCAUUGA